UACGUAGGGUGCGAGCGUUGUCCGGAAUUAUUGGGCGUAAAGAGCUCGUAGGCGGUUUGUCGCGUCUGCUGUGAAAACCUCAGGCUCAACCUGGGGCUUGCAGUGGGUACGGGCAGACUAGAGUGCGGUAGGGGUGACUGGAAUUCCUGGUGUAGCGGUGGAAUGCGCAGAUAUCAGGAGGAACACCGAUGGCGAAGGCAGGUCACUGGGCCGCAACUGACGCUGGAGGAGCGAAAGCAUGGGGAGCGAACAGG
rnacentral:rRNA from 1 species